AUUGAACGCUGGCGGCAGGCCUAACACAUGCAAGUCGAGCGGAUGAAGGGAGCUUGCUCCUGGAUUCAGCGGCGGACGGGUGAGUAAUGCCUAGGAAUCUGCUUGGUAGUGGGGGAUAACGUCCGGAAACGGGCGCUAAUACCGCAUACGUCCUGAGGGAGAAAGUGGGGGAUCUUCGGACCGCACGCUAUCAGAUGAGCCUAGGUCGGAUUAGCUAGUUGGUGGGGUAAAGGCCUACCAAGGCGACGAUCCGUAACUGGACUGAGAGGAUGAUCAGGCACACUGGAAGUGAGACACGGUCCAGACUCCUACGGGAGGCAGCAGUGGGGAAUAUUGGACAAUGGGCGAAAGCCUGAUCCAGCCAUGCCGCGUGUGUGAAGAAGGUCUUCGGAUUGUAAAGCACUUUAAGUUGGGAGGAAGGGCAGUAAGUUAAUACCUUGCUGUUUUGACGUUACCAACAGAAUAAGCACCGGCUAACUUCGUG
rnacentral:rRNA from 1 species